rnacentral:rRNA from 1 species
GAGGAAGGUGGGUAUGUUAAUAGCAUAUUCAUUUGACGUUAGCUGCAGAAGAAGCACCGGCUAACUCCGUGCCAGCAGCCGCGGUAAUACGGAGGGUGCGAGCGUUAAUCGGAAUUACUGGGCGUAAAGCGCAUGCAGGUGGUUGUUAAGUCAGAUGUGAAAAGCCCCGGGGCUCAACCUCGGAAUUGCAUUUGAAACUGGCAACUAGAGUACUGUAGAGGGGGUAGAAUUUCAGGUGUAGCGGUGAAAUGCGUAGAGAUCUGAAGGAAUACCGGUGGCGAAGGCGGCCCCCUCGGACAGAUACUGACACUCAGAUGCGAAAGCGUGGGGAGCAAACAGGAUUAGAUACCCUGGUAG